rnacentral:lncRNA from 1 species
AAAAUAAAUAAUAAAAAUUAGAUUAAAUAUAAAUAUAAAUAAAAUACAACAAGUCCAAACAUAGCAUCUUGUUUGCGAACCUAAACAACACUGAAAAUGCAAAGGUCUUUUAUAAAAGACAAAUUGCUAAGUUUUGAACUAGGAAUUCUAAUACCUUGGAGGACAAUGCAAAGUUUAAACUUCAUAAACUACACUCUCAUUAAGACAAGAUGCCAAUGAAUCUACAAACAGAGGGGAAAAAUAUUAUAGAUUUGAAUAGUCUGAAAGUGCCUAAAGGAUUUUUGUACACUACUCCAGUCUAUUAAUGCAGAAGUCAUUGAAAAGGCUGUGCAUAAUAUGUACCUACAACAUACAAAAUAAUGUAACGUGAAACCCAAAUCCGUUAACUACAAAAUUACAGGAAAAGAGAGAACAACUUAAUAUUUCGGUUAAUUUGGUUUUUUUCUUUUUUCUUUUUUUAACGAAACAAAAUUAACCUUCAACAUUUUUCAAUGGAUAAUUCUACAUAUACAACCAAAAUAUCAAAACAAAUCAAAAUCUAGAAGCACCAUACAAUGAAGAUAUUAAUCACCAUCAGAUGUUAAAUUAACACAUACUAAAAGUUCAAAACAAAUAAAUGAAGGUAUAAAACUUAACAGGACUAAUCCUAACUAAUAACCAAAAUAGCAUUCAAAUAUCAAAUUUUCUUAAAAUCUCUUCUGUUAACCAAACUGAAUUUUUUAUGGUUAACCAAACAACCGAAUUUGGUCAGUUAAUUUAGCACAAAUGGUCAUCUGGUCUUUAAUCCCAGGUUUACAUCAUAGAGUUUCAUGCAUAUUUAUUCACAUGUUACAACAUUCACAUCGACUAUCAUAUUUGUAAUUCAUUUACCUCAUCAAAUAUCUAAUAAAACACACCUUCCGCCGUCUGUCAUUUGGCCACAAUAUAUAUAUACACAUCUCAUACAUAUCUCACAUUAGCCAUUUGGCUUUACCACAUAUCCAUCUCAUACACGUUUCGCAUUAGCCAUUUGGCUUUACCUCAUAUCCGUCUCAUACACAUUUCGCAUUAGCCAUUCGGCUUCGCCACAUAUAUACACUUCUACGUUCAUCACAUUGGCCAUUCUACCUUAUCACAUGUAUGCAUGUUCGUAUUCAUCACAUUGGCCAUUCGGCCUUAUCACAUAUUUGCAUGCUCACGUUCAUCACAUUGGCCAUUCGGCCUUAUCACACAUAUGCAUGUUCACGUUCAUCACAUUGGCCAUUCGACCUUAUCACAUAUGCAUGUUCACGUUCAUCACAUUGGCCAUUCGGCCUUAUCACAUAUGCAUGUUCACAUUCAUCUCAUACAAUCCUAAUCAAAAUAUAAUUUUUCAUGUAUUCACAUCACAAUUAUCCAAAUAUACUUCACAUACCACAUAUACUUUCACGUAUACACUUUGUCUUGGCUGAAUCCACGUCUAUCAUUCUCCAAUGAAUAAUUCAAUUUCAUGCCAUACUAUCAUUUCAUAUUCGAAUACUUAUAAACUUACAAUUUCACAAAUUUUAAUAUCAAAGAUCCAUCUAACACUCAUAUAUCAUUUUACAAUAUCACAAUUUAGAAUUCACGUAUGGGUUUAAUCAAUAGCUUGUGAGCAGCCAAAACAAGUUUCAUCCAUGUUUUCAACAUAACCACAAUUCUCUACAAGCAGUUUUUCCUGAGCAACAGUCGCUAAAUUAUUUGUAACUGGGACUACGAAAUUCCAAAUUAUGUGCCGUUAAUUUUCCAUGAAAAUAGACUCGUAUAUCCUCUAUCCACAAAAUUUUCAAAAUUUUUGGUUUGGCCAAUAAAUACUAGAUUUUUCUUAAAAUUUCCCCUGUUUUACUGUUUGACUAAUCUGACCACUCUUCACUACAAAUCAAAUAUCUCAUUGUACAGAAUUCAAAAUGUGUUCUAUUUGAUUUCAUUUGAAACUAGACUCAUUAAGGAGUCUAAGCAUAUAAAUUUUAUCUUAUAACCAUUUCUGUACAAAUUAUAAUGAUUUUCUAAAAACAGAACAGGGGAUUUCGGAGUCGUUCCGACACUGUCUCACACAACUUUAAAUAUCUCUUUAUAGGAAAUUUCUUUGCUCACACAGUCUCUUUUACAAGAAACUAGACUAAUUAAGAUUUGAUUACAUAUUUUAUUCAGCCUAUAAUUCCACACCAACAAUUUAUGGUGAUUUUCUAAAACCACGUUACUGCUGCUGUCCUAAGCAAAUUAUUACAAUUUGCUCUUAAAUUUCCAAGUCCAAACACUUAUAAACUUACCAUUUGAGUUUAAAACAUAUCAUGACCACAUCAUAUCUUAUUAAAUCGACUCAUUAUGUCCUAUUAUGAUUGAAUUUACUCAACAUUUAAUCACUUAAAACUUACCUCGGAAGUGGUCGACGACUAGAUAUCCACGGCUAUUUGUUUACUUUCUCUUUUCCCCCAUCCGACUUUGAUCCUCUUUGCUCUUAAGCUUAAGUAAAACAAUAGAUUUGCUUAAGUACUUAACCAAUAUUAUUCACUUAACUAUCACAUUGGGCAAUCACAUAUCAUUUAAUCUAUAUCUAAAACAAUAGAUUUCAAUAUGUAUCAUAUUCGAUAAAACAUACCAUGACUCGAUUUCAUGCUUAUUUAAUUUAGCUAAUUUCAUAGCCGAUUAAUCACCUUACCCCAACAUUACUCAAUGCCGAAUAUUAACCCAACAUCACAAGCAUAAUCACCAUGAAACUUACCUUGAUACACAUUUUAUCCCAUUGCCGAAUACAUAUAUAUAUCACCAAACAAAUUUUUAUUCACAUCUCUAUAAUUGAUCAUAAUCGGACAUUAUAAACAAAUCAACUAGUUUAGCAUUCAAAUUCUUCUAAUCAUUCCUCAAUCACUUACUCAAUGAACAAUAAUCCAAGCACAUCAAAGCAUAGUCGAAUGUAUCAUUCUUCUUAAAUUCAUAUUCGAACACUCAAUUAAAUACUUACAAUUUAGCACUAAUUUGGCAUUUCAACAUAGCCAAUUGUCAUUAAGCAAUUAAGCCACAAAUAUUCAAUUUUACCAAGCUCAACUCAUCUAUAAUCAACCCUCAAUACACCUAAGCAUCAAAAACAACAUCAAAGAAAUACAAACAUCCAUGACCGAAUGUCAUCUUCAUAAAUUUACAAAAAUAUUUGCCAUGAGUUAGCUUCUAUACUUGAUGACCACUCCAAAUAUACAAAGACUUUCAAUGAAAGAGCAUUAACAUACCUCUUCCUAAACAUCAACCAACCCAUCAUGAAGCAAGAAAAUCCUCUUCUUCUUCCUUCCUCAAGUCACGGCAAUAGGGGGAGCAAGGAUGAGACAACUUUGUUUUCAUCACCCCUCCCUUUUUAUUACUUUAUUACUAACCUUUUAUUUUAUUAUUUCUAACAUAAAUCACUAACACAAAAAUGUUUAUAAUAGGCUUUAACCCAUAGCAUGGCCGGCCACUACUUGUCAUAGGUGGAAAUUUGACAUGCAAGCCCAUUAUUUUCAUAACAUGCACUAAUAGGUCCUUAUAGAUUAACCUAUCACCUUUUAAAAGUGCCACACAUAAGUCCUAUUAAUUAAAUUCACAUACAAUCGACUAAAUCGAAGCUUAAAACUUUCACACAUUUAUAUUCACAUAUUUUAGACAAUAAAUAUCAUAUUCAAAUACUUCGGUGACUCGGUUUAGCGGUCCCGAAACCACUUUCCGACUAGGGUCAAUUUGGGGCUGUCACAAACCCACUGAAAAAUUAAGGAAGCAGUGGUUUGAAAACUAAAAUAGAGACGAAAAAGGCAAAGACAAACUUGUUCUAAAGCUGAAAACCCUAAAAAAACCCACUGAAAUAGAAGUAGAUAAGAAUAGAUCAGAAAACUAAAAAAAGACAUGAAAAAGAAAAGACAAAGUUGUAGGAGUGACUCUCAGUUGCUCUUACGAAAAUUCUCUUCCUACUGUCCUGCGUGCGUGUUUUUGGCCUAUAGUGAAAAUUUUUGCUUCUAAUUGAUUGAUUCAAAUAUAUAUAUAAAUCAUAAUUAAUAUAAAAAUACAUAUAAAUUGUUAUGUUUAAUAUUUUAAUAUUUUUAUUAAAAAUAACAAUUUAACACUCAAUUUAACACUAAUUUGAAAAAAAUGUAAAUAUUAAAUGUCAAAUUUAUUAUUACCUAUAUAUUUUUAAUGCAAAUUUAUAAAUAAUUUUAUUGUUAGAAAAUUAAUAAAAUUUAUAUCUAAAAAUAUAAAAGAGAAAAUAACCUCAAAUUUUGAAUUUUAAAGAGAAAUGAAUAUUUAAAAUUAUUAUUUUUAAUUUUUAAUUUGAACUGAUAUUAUUUAAUUGAUUAAAUUGCAUCAAGCCUGCUUAUGGUGGAUCUGAUUUUUGAGCUUUGAAAUUAUAUUUAUUAGUUAAAUAAAGUUGAAACUAAUUCAAUAAAUUUUUCCUGCAAAAAGUUAUAACUUCUGUGGUUAAUUCUUUUAAAGUGGAAAUUCAAAGCACAUUAUACACUCUACACGAUUCAUGUUAUUUCCUCGCAUACCAGAUGCAGAAGAUGAAAACCCUGCAACAGGAUGACCUCUAUUUUCUCUCUUUUGUGCAGGUUCAUUAACCGUUAAUAUAUUGAUUCCCAAUGCAUUGAAGGAAAAAUUACUUUAUAUGGUAACCUUAAAGAUUAACUAU